rnacentral:rRNA from 1 species
CGUAUCACUUAAAGCGAUUCAGCGGGUUACGAUUGACGGAGCGAAGCGACGUCAAAGCGUAUACAAAGUCGAGUCGGUUUAAGGAUACGUUCGUUGGGUAGGGGAGCGUUCUGUAAGCCUGUGAAGGUGGCCUGUGAGGGUUGCUGGAGGUAUCAGAAGUGCGAAUGCUGACAUAAGUAACGAUAAAGCGGGUGAAAAGCCCGCUCGCCGGAAGACCAAGGGUUCCUGUCCAACGUUAAUCGGGGCAGGGUGAGUCGACCCCUAAGGCGAGGCCGAAAGGCGUAGUCGAUGGGAAACGGGUUAAUAUUCCCGUACUUGGUGUUACUGCGAAGGGGGGACGGAGAAGGCUAUGUUGGCCGGGCGACGGUUGUCCCGGUUUAAGCGUGUAGGCUGGUUUUCCAGGCAAAUCCGGAAAAUCAAGGCUGAGGCGUGAUGACGAGGCACUACGGUGCUGAAGCAACAAAUGCCCUGCUUCCAGGAAAAGCCUCUAAGCAUCAGGUAACAUCAAAUCGUACCCCAAACCGACACAGGUGGUCAGGUAGAGAAUACCAAGGCGCUUGAGAGAACUCGGGUGAAGGAACUAGGCAAAAUGGUGCCGUAACUUCGGGAGAAGGCACGCUGACACGUAGGUGAAGUGAUUUACUCACGGAGCUGAAGUCAGUCGAAGAUACCAGCUGGCUGCAACUGUUUAUUAAAAACACAGCACUGUGCAAACACGAAAGUGGACGUAUACGGUGUGACGCCUGCCCGGUGCCGGAAGGUUAAUUGAUGGGGUCAGCGCAAGCGAAGCUCCUGAUCGAAGCCCCGGUAAACGGCGGCCGUAACUAUAACGGUCCUAAGGUAGCGAAAUUCCUUGUCGGGUAAGUUCCGACCUGCACGAAUGGCGUAAUGAUGGCCAGGCUGUCUCCACCCGAGACUCAGUGAAAUUGAACUCGCUGUGAAGAUGCAGUGUACCCGCGGCAAGACGGAAAGACCCCGUGAACCUUUACUAUAGCUUGACACUGAACAUUGAGCCUUGAUGUGUAGGAUAGGUGGGAGGCUUUGAAGCGUGGACGCCAGUCUGCGUGGAGCCGACCUUGAAAUACCACCCUUUAAUGUUUGAUGUUCUAACGUGGACCCGUUACCCGGGUUGCGGACAGUGUCUGGUGGGUAGUUUGACUGGGGCGGUCUCCUCCUAAAGAGUAACGGAGGAGCACGAAGGUUGGCUAAUCCUGGUCGGACAUCAGGAGGUUAGUGCAAUGGCAUAAGCCAGCUUGACUGCGAGCGUGACGGCGCGAGCAGGUGCGAAAGCAGGUCAUAGUGAUCCGGUGGUUCUGAAUGGAAGGGCCAUCGCUCAACGGAUAAAAGGUACUCCGGGGAUAACAGGCUGAUACCGCCCAAGAGUUCAUAUCGACGGCGGUGUUUGGCACCUCGAUGUCGGCUCAUCACAUCCUGGGGCUGAAGUAGGUCCCAAGGGUAUGGCUGUUCGCCAUUUAAAGUGGUACGCGAGCUGGGUUUAGAACGUCGUGAGACAGUUCGGUCCCUAUCUGCCGUGGGCGCUGGAGAACUGAGGGGGGCUGCUCCUAGUACGAGAGGACCGGAGUGGACGCAUCACUGGUGUUCGGGUUGUCAUGCCAAUGGCACUGCCCGGUAGCUAAAUGCGGAAGAGAUAAGUGCUGAAAGCAUCUAAGCACGAAACUUGCCCCGAG